rnacentral:misc_RNA from 1 species
UUAAGUUCAGCGGGUAUCCCUACCUGAUCCGAGGUCAAUUUCGUGGAAGAUUGGGGGUUGAUGGCAGGGCCACCGGCGGAAGGCUUCCGAAGCGGAUGAGAUUUACUGCGCUUGAAGUCCGCCGGGACCGCCACUACAUUUCGGGCGCGCCCCCCGCGAAUGCGGGGCGCGAGCACCCAAUACCAAGCAGUGCUUGAGGG